GGAAUGCUAGAGAAAAGCAGAAGUGUUGCAUGUUCACAAUACUGUGAACACGAGGAAUGCCAAAGACAUUCAACAUGAUCUAGGUUCUAAAAGCAGGUCAGCAGGGGAAAUAAGUGAGUCUUCUCCAAAACAGAUUGACCACCUGAUGACCAGCCACUUACACUCUCCACCGUGGAUGUCUGUCACACUCUGAGCAUGGUGAAUGCACGAAAGGCAGCUGGCCCCGAUGGAGUACCUGGCCGUGUGCUUAGAGGGCCAUGCUAAUCAGCUAACUGGGGUCUUAUUUGACAUUUUCAAUGUGUCAAAGUCAAAGUCAAUAUGUUCACCAUUGUGCCAGUGACAAAGCAUUCAACUGCUUCAGCUCUGAAUGAC